GUAACGCCUGCCCAGUGAGUUAACACUUAAACGGCCGCGAUUAAACGCGCGAAGGUAGCGCAAUCACUUGUUUCAUAAAUUGAGACCCGUAUGAAUGGCCACAUGAGAAAGAAACUGUCUCUUGAAGGUAACCGAUGAAACUGAUCUUCCUGUACAAAAGCAGGAAUAAUAAAGCAAGACAAAAAGACCCUGUGAAACUUAAAACAAAGCAUUAAAAUAAUAAUGCCCAACUUUUAGUUGGGGCAACUUAAGAUAUACAAAACAUCUUACUACGUCUAAACCAACAAGUUUUAACUACUAAACACAUGACCCGGCACUGCCGAUCAACGAACCAAGCUACUCCAGGGAUAACAGCGCUAAAUUCUUUAAGAGUCCAUAUCAACAAGAAUUAUUACGACCUCGAUGUUGGAUCAGGGCACCCAAACAGUGCAGAAGCUGUUAACGGUUCGUUUGUUCAACGACUAACUAGGAUAGUUUAAUAAAACACUAGGCCGUGAUCCUAAUAAUAGAACCUUAGUUCUUCCAAGCCAAGAAGAACGUUAGGGCUGCUAACCCUAACCCCUGAACGUAACAACACAGACUUCUUACUUU
rnacentral:rRNA from 1 species